GCGAGUCUGAGUGGCAUUAGUGUCACAAUCUGUUCUUCGCAGUUUCAAUAUUCUUGGCAGAAGGAUAUUUCUCUCCAUCUGAACGCUGGGAAUAAAUAAUCCAAAUUUUUUAAGAACAAACCUAAAUCCUGGAUUUCGAAAUAUUCGGUUUAUUCGUACUAUCACCAAUGACUCAAGCAUAACUAUGCGCACGAUAGCAACAUUAUCGAUCCAGGACUCUCUCCUGGGGUGUAACGCAUUCAACUGUCUCUGCAAUGGCGCCUUCUAUUUUCCGUUCAUUGUCUGGUCUACAGCGGAAUCCAGAAAAAUAAUGAACAAAGGGAAUUUUUUUAUUCACCCGAAAGAACGUAAUUUUCAAAUCAUCCUACGGCAACAUCAACAUCGCCCGUAACUGUCGUAGACCAGAAGAGGUUUCCCCUCGACACGACCCACGUAAACCCGCGUGAGAUGACUCGCUGGUGCGAGAUAUCGUCAGGGCCCGGCUGAAAUUGCUUCAUCCAAACAAGAACUAUCUCCCGAAGUCGAUCUGGAUAUUAAUCAGCUCAGUACAUCGCCGGAGAGAACGUCGCCUUGGACCCCGUGAUCCUCUCAAGACAGUUUACCUUGGAUUGAGUGUCUUGAAGGUUUCCACAGAGUUGAUGGCUGACGGUAACGAAUACAAGGCGAGAAUAAAGAGGAAAUAACCCGGAGAAAAGAGUAAACAAAAUGCCGGAGGAGACUAACAAAAAAUGGGAGGGAAUUUCUAUGGGAUCGUCCGGGGAAAUACAUCUGAAACCUCGUUGAUGCCGGGGGAGAACGCGGGAGAUAAAGAGGCGAGUGAUGUUUGAGAUUUUGACGGGGCUGAGGUUCGGAACUUGUUUUUAUGAGAAUCUUCCUACCGUCCUGACUUGACUUGGAGUUAAUCCCGGAUGAAAAAAUAUCUUUAGGGAUGUCCAAGGGUUCGUUCGCUGGUUAAUACAGAUCGUAAUGUAAGUUAAUCAUCUCUAAUCAACUAAUUUGUCAACGGAAUUGAGCGAGAAAAAUUUAAUCGACUUAUGGAAAAUUAGGAUUAUUUAUAUAUAUUUUUUUUCAUUUGUUUAUUGCAAUGGUUGGAGGAUACAGUGGCAUAGAUUAUAGGGGUUGAAUCAAAUAACAUUUUUCAGAAAAUUAUUAGGUGUAAAUUUUUUUUUUUGUGAAUAAAUUAUUCAAAUGGUUGAAACUA